rnacentral:lncRNA from 1 species
GUAGGACCUCAGUUCCAUUCAGCAUGACAGCAUCAGCAGGUGACACAUGUAAGUAGCUAAUCUGGUAGCAUGUGUCUUCUUUGUUCAGUGACUGCAGAUUUGUUGGCUUUAGUCACAUGAUCAGUAAACCUUUUUUACUUGUGGGCCAUUAAUUCAUGAUUGUUUGAAAUACUUGCCAAACUAAAAUUAGAAUAUGGAGGGAUUAUGUCUGUAUGCUAAUAGAUGUCUUUAGUGCGCUGUUAGGAUACCAAAUAUCUAGAGAAGAGUUGAAGAUAUGGAAGCAAGAGGAGGCAUAGGAGUUAUGAAUGCUUAGAAUCGAAUAUUCUAUUACAAUUCGCCUACUUUUCUUGUUUUCUUCUCCUAUAUGUAGUUAACUAAUACAGUUUAUGACAGCUUAUACAAGGGUUGAACCCAUUCUAGAUGGCAAUGCACACAUUCCUAGACCUAGACCUUGAGCUCCGGCGUGGACUGGGCGUGGGUCUUGAUCCUCUGGAUUCAACAUUAUCGUCUGUUUCCAGCGCUGGUGUUUCUUCAGUUUUAGUGGUGGUAAUAAUCGUGCCUGACAAAUUAACACACUGGACAAUAUUUAGCUUUUGCAGAGACUAUAUGACAGCUUAAGCGUUGAAUUUGUUUUAUUUAUGUUUACAUCCAUUUUUUUCGUGUUCAGUAUUUCAAGCAUCCAUUAAUGCAAACAACUGCGCACUUGAUCCAGUUCAUCUUGUCUGCUGUUAAUUUCAGCAAUGAAUAUUAUCAGAUACUGUGCUUGUUUCAGACCAAUGCGUAAGAGAACUUCAUGACCAUACUGGUUAUUCUGCAGGUGUUCACAAUACCUGACCCCUAGCAGCAUGGGCGGCGGGCAGUGGUUCUGCUGUACCUUUGCUUAUUAUGGUGAGGUUAUAUGGAGCGAGGUGUGUGGCGUUUUGGGGAGCUUCUGCCUUUAGGCAUAUAGCUAUAUAGUAGUGUUUUUUUAUUUGGCAUAUAACCCUGUACAACUUUACUUUAGCACGAGAAUAUAGUGGAUAUAUAUGCAAGUCUUUGUUGGUUGUGUUUAUCUCAUUUUCUGAUUUUUUUUUUGUUGAAUUGUCAUGAUUUCUUGCGCCGCCCUUUGUGUUGUUUGGAGAUCUUGGCCUCCCAAAUUCUUCUCUGGUAGAGGAUUUAUUAUCCAAGUUCCACCACCUGCAAGCUGAUACUUAGCUGUUUAGAAAAUAAAUUGACAGUUCUAUAUGACUAUUUUACAAGAUCUAUUAUUCCUGGAGCAGAUCAUUCAACUAGUAUAUAUAUAUAAAAGAGAACAUGCGUACCAAGACAUACCUGGAAGCUUCCUGGACAGAAAUCCUGUGCUUGUGCUCGCUCCAUCGCUCAUGCACGUGGGCUGCACAUGGGCCUCGCUGAAACACCGUGCAAGUAGAAGCGCAUGGCACCUGGAACCGUUCAACACGGGAAUGUAUGCAACCCCGUCUGAAUGUUCGGUUCGGGUCCUAGAUACUCAAAUAAAUUCGGU